UAAAAGUCAAAAAGUGUAAUAAGAAGUUUUUUUUGUUCGGAAACUUGCUAAUAUUAUUUUUUGGGUCUCUUCCUAUGAAAUGUUCUUGAUUCUCUCCACGAUGAAGCACAAAGUCUCCAAGAGAGUAAUCUCUCUCGAAUGGGUUCCAUUUCUCUGCAUCUCUUUCUUCGCUCUUGGAGCAAUCUUCACCUUCAUGUCGUGGGAGCCGUCGUCAUAUUGCUAAUUUCACAGCACCGUCGUGAUCAGGAACUUCAGAUUGUGUCAGACGAUUGUGCUCAUAAUAAACUUACAGCAGAAGAACUGUCUUGUGCUCCGGCUGAAGCUAUUAGAAGGAGCUUCCAUGGAAUUUGCAAGGGAGAUAAAGAAACAUCAAUCACCCAAAUCUCGUUUCUCUUCAACUGUAAAUCUAAAUACAGUUUGGAGACAAUAGGAUACUUAUUGUUGUAACUUGUAAAUCAAAUCUCAGCUCUCAAGUAAAGAUACUCAUUUGGCUUA